UCCCUGGUGGUCCAGUGGCUAAGACUCCGUGCUCCCAGUACAGGAAGCCUGGGUUCAAUCCCUGGCCAGGGAA
rnacentral:tRNA from 1 species